CCGAGUUUACAACUCCCAAACCCCAUGUGAACAUACCUGUUUCGUUCCCUCGGCGGUGUCCGGCAACGGCCCGCCAGAGGACCCAACAAACUCUUUUGAAUUUUUCAGUAUCUUCUGAGUAAAAAACAAAUAAAUCAAAACUUUCAACAACGGAUCUCUUGGUUCUGGCAUCGAUGAAGAACGCAGCGAAAUGCGAUAAGUAAUGUGAAUUGCAGAAUUCAGUGAAUCAUCGAAUCUUUGAACGCACAUUGCGCCCGCCAGUAUUCUGGCGGGCAUGCCUGUUCGAGCGUCAUUUCAACCCUCAAGCUCAGCUUGGUGUUGGGGAUCGGCAAGGCGUCCUCCGGGUCGCGCCGUCCCCCAAAUUUAGUGGCGGUCUCGCUGUAGCUUCCUCUGCGUAGUAAUACACCUCGCUCUGGAGUCUCGGUGCGGCCACGCCGUAAAACCCCCAACUUUUUCUGGUUGACCUCGAAUC
rnacentral:rRNA from 1 species